GAGAAGAACGCAGCGAAAUGCGAUACGUAAUGUGAAUUGCAGAAUUCAGUGAAUCAUCGAAUCUUUGAACGCAUAUUGCGCUCUUUGGUAUUCCGAAGAGCAUGCUUGUUUGAGUAUCAGUAAACACCUCAAAGACUUCAAUUUGUUUUGAAUGGCUUUGGACUUGAGCAAUCCCAACACCAGUCUUUACGAUCGGUGGAGGGUUGCUUGAAAUGCAGGUGCAGCUGGACAUUCUCCUGAGCUAAAAGCAUAUUUAUUUAGUCCCGUCAAACGGAUUAUUACUUUUGCUGCAGCUAACAUAAAGGGAGUUUGACCGUAUUGGCUGACUGAUGCAGGAUUUCACAAGGGUCGGCAACGAUUCUUGUAAAACUCGAUCUCAAAUCAAGUAAGACUACCCGCUGAACUUAAGCAUAUCAAUAAGCGGAGGA
rnacentral:misc_RNA from 1 species